GAUGAACGCUGGCGGCGUGCCUAAUACAUGCAAGUCGAGCGAACAGAUGAGGAGCUUGCUCCUCUGACGUUAGCGGCGGACGGGUGAGUAACACGUGGAUAACCUACCUAUAAGACUGGGAUAACUUCGGGAAACCGGAGCUAAUACCGGAUAAUAUAUUGAACCGCAUGGUUCAAUAGUGAAAGACGGUUUUGCUGUCACUUAUAGAUGGAUCCGCGCCGCAUUAGCUAGUUGGGAAGGUAACGGCUUACCAAGGCAACGAUGCGUGGCCGACGUGAGAGGGUGAUCGGCCACACUGGAGCUGAGACACGGUCCAGACUCCUACGGGAGGCAGCAGUAGGGAAUCGUCCGCAAUGGGCGAAAGCCUUACGGAGCAACGCCGCGUGAGUUAUGAAGGUCUUCGGAUCGUAAAACUCUGUUAUUAGGGAAGAACAAAUGUGUAAGUAACUAUGCACGUCUUGACGGUACCUAAUCAGAAAGCCACGGCUAACUACGUG
rnacentral:rRNA from 1 species